GAUGAACGCUGGCGGCGUGCCUAAUACAUGCAAGUCGAGCGAACGGACGAGAAGCUUGCUUCUCUGAUGUUAGCGGCGGACGGGUGAGUAACACGUGGAUAACCUACCUAUAAGACUGGGAUAACUUCGGGAAACCGGAGCUAAUACCGGAUAAUAUUUUGAACCGCAUGGUUCAAAAGUGAAAGACGGUCUUGCUGUCACUUAUAGAUGGAUCCGCGCUGCAUUAGCUAGUUGGUAAGGUAACGGCUUACCAAGGCAACGAUGCAUAGCCGACCUGAGAGGGUGAUCGGCCACACUGGAACUGAGACACGGUCCAGACUCCUACGGGAGGCAGCAGUAGGGAAUCUUCCGCAAUGGGCGAAAGCCUGACGGAGCAACGCCGCGUGAGUGAUGAAGGUCUUCGGAUCGUAAAACUCUGUUAUUAGGGAAGAACAUAUGUGUAAGUAACUGUGCACAUCUUGACGGUACCUAAUCAGAAAGCCACGGCUAACUACGUGCCAGCAGCCGCGGUAAUACGUAGGUGGCAAGCGUUAUCCGGAAUUAUUGGGCGUAAAGCGCGCGUAGGCGGUUUUUUAAGUCUGAUGUGAAAGCCCACGGCUCAACCGUGGAGGGUCAUUGGAAACUGGAAAACUUGAGUGCAGAAGAGGAAAGUGGAAUUCCAUGUGUAGCGGUGAAAUGCGCAGAGAUAUGGAGGAACACCAGUGGCGAAGGCGACUUUCUGGUCUGUAACUGACGCUGAUGUGCGAAAGCGUGGGGAUCAAACAGGAUUAGAUACCCUGGUAGUCCACGCCGUAAACGAUGAGUGCUAAGUGUUAGGGGGUUUCCGCCCCUUAGUGCUGCAGCUAACGCAUUAAGCACUCCGCCUGGGGAGUACGACCGCAAGGUUGAAACUCAAAGGAAUUGACGGGGACCCGCACAAGCGGUGGAGCAUGUGGUUUAAUUCGAAGCAACGCGAAGAACCUUACCAAAUCUUGACAUCCUUUGACAACUCUAGAGAUAGAGCUUUCCCCUUCGGGGGACAAAGUGACAGGUGGUGCAUGGUUGUCGUCAGCUCGUGUCGUGAGAUGUUGGGUUAAGUCCCGCAACGAGCGCAACCCUUAAGCUUAGUUGCCAUCAUUAAGUUGGGCACUCUAAGUUGACUGCCGGUGACAAACCGGAGGAAGGUGGGGAUGACGUCAAAUCAUCAUGCCCCUUAUGAUUUGGGCUACACACGUGCUACAAUGGACAAUACAAAGGGCAGCGAAACCGUGAGGUCAAGCAAAUCCCAUAAAGUUGUUCUCAGUUCGGAAUGUAGUCUGCAACUCGACUACAUGAAGCUGGAAUCGCUAGUAAUCGUAGAUCAGCAUGCUACGGUGAAUACGUUCCCGGGUCU
rnacentral:rRNA from 1 species